AACGAACGCUGGCGGCAUGCCUAACACAUGCAAGUCGAACGAGACCUUCGGGUCUAGUGGCGCACGGGUGCGUAACGCGUGGGAAUCUGCCCUUGGGUUCGGAAUAACAGUUGGAAACGACUGCUAAUACCGGAUGAUGACGUAAGUCCAAAGAUUUAUCGCCCAAGGAUGAGCCCGCGUAGGAUUAGCUAGUUGGUGAGGUAAAGGCUCACCAAGGCGACGAUCCUUAGCUGGUCUGAGAGGAUGAUCAGCCACACUGGGACUGAGACACGGCCCAGACUCCUACGGGAGGCAGCAGUGGGGAAUAUUGGACAAUGGGCGAAAGCCUGAUCAAGCAAUGCGGCGUGAGUGAUGAAGGCCUUAGGAUUGUAAAGCUCUUUUACACGGGAUGAUAAUGACAGUAACGGGAGAAUAAGCUCCGGCUAACUCCGUG
rnacentral:rRNA from 1 species